rnacentral:rRNA from 1 species
UAUGUGAUCGUCUCUCGCAUAUCAAUAAGCGGAGGAAAAGAAACUAACAAGGAUUCCCCUAGUAACGGCGAGUGAAGCGGGAAGAGCUCAAAUUUGAAAUCUUAAAGGGUUUCCCUUUACGAAUUGUAGUUUAAAGAAGUGUUUUCUGUUGAGGUUUUGGCUAAAAGUUCUUUGGAAUAGGACAUCAUAGAGGGUGAGAAUCCCGUAUUUGACCUUUACUUUCAACUUUGUGAUACACUUUCAAAGAGUCGGAUUGUUUGGGAAUGCAGUCCAAAAUGGGUGGUAAAUUUCAUCUAAAGCUAAAUAUUGGCGAGAGACCGAUAGCGAACAAGUACCGUGAGGGAAAGAUGAAAAGAACUUUGAAAAGAGAGUUAAACAGUACGUGAAAUUGUCAAAAGGGAAGCGUUUGACACCAGUGUUGUUUUUCUGAAAAUCAAUUAAAGAACUGUUUAUGCUAAGCUGUUUAGACUUUAUCAGCUAUCUGUUUAGUUUUGAGCUUUUCUUUAAUGCACUUUUCAGUUAACAAGUCAACAUCAAUUUCUUUUGCUGUAAAAAAGCUUGAGGAAGGUGGCUUGAGAUUCGUCUUAAGUGUUUAUAGCCUCUUGCCUAUGCAGUCGGAGAGAUUGAGGUCUGCAGCGUAGAUCCUUCGGGGCUAAAUGCAUUUGUGCUAAGUUAUAGCAUUUUAUAGACAACUUGUUGACUAUGAUUUGUCUUGUAGCUUACUCGCUUAUGUUAUUUUACCUACGCUUAGGAUGUUGAACGCGCACAGAGUCUC